rnacentral:misc_RNA from 1 species
GAUGAAGAACGUAGCGAAAUGCGAUAAGUAGUGUGAAUUGCAGAAUUCAGUGAAUCAUCGAAUCUUUGAACGCACAUUGCGCCCUUUGGUAUUCCUUAGGGCAUGCCUGUUCGAGCGUCAUUUCAACCCUCGACGUCCCCUGGGACGUCGGCCUUGGGGACCGGCAGCACCCCGCCGGCCCUGAAAUGGAGUGGCGGCCCGUCCGCGGCGACCUCUGCGCAGUACAACCACUCGCACCGGGAACCCGACGCGGCCCGCCGUGAAACCCCCAACCUCUGACCGUUGACCUCGGAUCAGGUAGGACUACCCGCUGAACUUAAGCAUAUCAAUAAGCGGAGGA